rnacentral:rRNA from 1 species
UACAUGUGGGGCAAGCGUUGUUCGGAAUUACUGGGCAUAAAGGGUGCGUAGGUGGUCUAUUAAGUCAGGGGUGAAAUCCCCGCGGCCCAACCGUGGAACUGCCUUUGAUACUGGUGGACUUGAGUGCGUGAGGGGUAACCGGAACGAGCAGUGUAGCGGUGAAAUGCGUAGAUAUUGCUCGGAAGGCCAGAGGCGAAGGCGGGUUACUGGUACGCAACUGACACUGAGGCACGAAAGCGUGGGGAGCAAACAGG